rnacentral:rRNA from 1 species
AUUGAACGCUGGCGGCAUGCCUUACACAUGCAAGUCGAACGGUAACAGGUCUUCGGAUGCUGACGAGUAGCGAACGGGUGAGUAAUACAUCGGAACGUGCCUAGUAGUGGGGGAUAACUACUCGAAAGAGUGGCUAAUACCGCAUGAGAUCUACGGAUGAAAGCAGGGGAUCGCAAGACCUUGUGCUACUAGAGCGGCCGAUGGCAGAUUGGGUAGUUGGUGGGCUAAAAGCUUACCAAGCCGACGAUCUGUAGCUGGUCUGAGAGGACGAUCAGCCACACUGGGACUGAGACACGGCCCAGACUCCUACGGGAGGCAGCAGUGGGGAAUUUUGGACAAUGGGCGAAAGCCUGAUCCAGCAAUGCCGCGUGCAGGAUGAAGGCCUUCGGGUUGUAAACUGCUUUUGUACGGAACGAAAAGCCCCGGGUUAAUACCCUGGGGUCAUGACGGUACCGUAAGAAUAAGCACCGGCUAACUACGUGCCAGCCGCCGCAGUAA